rnacentral:rRNA from 1 species
GGAAAGAUUCAUCGCCGGAGGAGGGUCCCGCGUCCGAUUAGCUAGUUGGUGUGGUAACGGCGCACCAAGGCGACGAUCGGUAGCCGGUCUGAGAGGACGAUCGGCACACUGGGACUGAGACACGGCCAGACUCCUACGGGAGGCAGCAGUGGGGAAUAUUGGACAAUGGGCGCAAGCCUGAUCCAGCCAUGCCGCGUGAGUGAUGAAGGCCUUCGGGUUGUAAAGCUCUUUUGGCGGGGACGAUGAUGACGGUACCCGCAGAAUAAGCCCCGGCAAACUUCGUGCCAGCAGCCGCGGUAAGACGAAGGGGGCAAGCGUCGUCGGAAUUACUGGGCGUUAAAGGGCGCGUAGCGGCCUUUAAGUCCGGACCGUGAAAAGCCCCGGGCUCCAAAACCCCUUGGGGGAACGGUCGCCGGUUCCCGGAAAAACUCGGGGGGGGACUUCUUGGAAACAAAGNUUCGGGGCAAAAAACGGUCUCGGNACGGAAACAUUCCCCCCCAAGCUCGNUCAAGAAAGGCGCGACAACACUNCCGCGCAACNAAUCACCUCUCGGGGAAACAAAACNCACCGCCGAUCGGCCCAAACGGCGCGCACAACAAC